rnacentral:tRNA from 1 species
GCCCCUUUAGCUCAGUCGGCAGAGCGUCGCCAUGGUAAGGCGAAGGUCUACGGUUCGAUUCCGUAAAGGGGCUCCA